AAUGUUAUUCAAAAUUAAAAGACUUGUAAAAUCUUUGUAUAUUAAUUGAUUUGAAAUGAAACCUCUUUGGAGUUUCAUGAGUAAAUCAUUAGAAUCAAAAAUCCAAGACAUAUUGUAGAGAUUUUGAAAGUCAUACAAACAUAUUCUUAAAAGCAAUAUCAGAAAACAAAUCUAAGGUGGUGUUAUUCAAUUAUGGAGUUAAAGUCAAUUCUUUAAGCUUUAGAUUUGUUUUCUGAUAUUGCUUUUUAAAAAAUGUUUGUAUGAAUUUCAAAAUCUCUGCAAUAUGUCUUGGAUUUCAAUUCUAAUAAAAUACUCGUGAAACUCUAAAGAAGUUUCAUUUCAAAUGAAUUAAUAUACAAGGAUUUUACAAGUUUUUAAGUUUUGAAUAACACUGGAUUUUAAUGAAAUAUUUAAAAUCUUAAUUGAAUAACACUAAACUUUAAAAUCUAUUAAGCAUGAUUUACAAAGAUGAGUUCCAAUAACACUAGAUUUUAAAACUGGAUUUAGAAUCAUUAGUUGAAUAACAGUGGAUUAGUGUUGGAUUUCAAUUCUAUUAAAAUCCAUUAACUAAUAACACCCCCUAAAACUUAAAGAAUUGACUUUAACUCCAUAAUUGAAUAACACCACCUUAUUCUUGAGAUUUUUCAUA
rnacentral:sRNA from 1 species